AGCAUGUGGUUUAAUUCGAAGCAACGCGAAGAACCUUACCAGGUCUUGACAUCCCGAUGCUAUUUCUAGAGAUAGAAAGUUACUUCGGUACAUCGGUGACAGGUGGUGCAUGGUUGUCGUCAGCUCGUGUCGUGAGAUGUUGGGUUAAGUCCCGCAACGAGCGCAACCCCUAUUGUUAGUUGCCAUCAUUCAGUUGGGCACUCUAGCGAGACUGCCGGUAAUAAACCGGAGGAAGGUGGGAUGACGUCAAAUCAUCAUGCCCCUUAUGACCUGGGCUACACACGUGCUACAAUGGUUGGUACAACGAGUUGCGAGUCGGUGACGGCGAGCUAAUCUCUUAAAGCCAAUCUCAGUUCGGAUUGUAGGCUGCAACUCGCCUACAUGAAGUCGGAAUCGCUAGUAAUCGCGGAUCAGCACGCCGCGGUGAAUACGUUCCCGGGCCUU
rnacentral:rRNA from 1 species